UACGUAGGGUGCAAGCGCUAAUCGGAAUUACUGGGCGUAAAGCGUGCGCAGGCGGUUUUGUAAGUCUGUCGUGAAAUCCCCGGGCUCAACCUGGGAAUUGCGAUGGAGACUGCAAGGCUAGAAUCUGGCAGAGGGGGGUAGAAUUCCACGUGUAGCAGUGAAAUGCGUAGAGAUGUGGAGGAACACCGAUGGCGAAGGCAGCCCCCUGGGUCAAGAUUGACGCUCAUGCACGAAAGCGUGGGGAGCAAACAGG
rnacentral:rRNA from 1 species